rnacentral:rRNA from 1 species
GGAGUUAGGAAAUGUAGGUGCGAUAAUACCGUGCUUAUUUGACAAAGGCUCCAAAGGAAGCCACGGCUAACUCUGUGCCAGCAGCCGCGGUAAUACAGAGGUGGCAAGCGUUGUUCGGAAUUAUUGGGCGUAAAGAGCACGUAGGUGGAUUUGUUAGUCAGAUGUGAAAGCCUUUUGUUCAACGGAAGAAUUGCAUCUGAAACUACAAACCUUGAGUAUAGGAGGGGAGAGUGGAACUUCUGGU